UUCAAUAAAUCCUCAAAUAAAUCAUGAUCAAACAUCAUCCAUAACAUGAUAAGCAUACCAAUUUCAGCUCAUUUGGAUCAAAGGAAGUAGGUCAAUGAAAAUCAGAAAGUCAAAGCAAGUUCAAGCAAACUCAUACAAAACAUCAAAACAUGCACCAACUUCAAUUAAUCAUAAAACAGAAACAACAUAUGAUAAAUGAAUGGGACUAAAACCAUGACAAACUUUAAGAUGUCUAUAAUU
rnacentral:lncRNA from 1 species